rnacentral:rRNA from 1 species
UCGAACGGUAACGGGCCUUCGGGUGCCGACGAGUGGCGAACGGGUGAGUAAUGCAUCGGAACGUACCUUUCAGUGGGGGAUAACGUAGCGAAAGUUACGCUAAUACCGCAUAUUCUGUGAGCAGGAAAGCAGGGGAUCGCAAGACCUUGCGCUGAUUGAGCGGCCGAUGUCAGAUUAGCUAGUUGGUGAGGUAAAGGCUCACCAAAGGCGACGAUCUGUAGCGGGUCUGAGAGGAUGAUCCGCCACACUGGAACUGAGACACGGUCCAGACUCCUACGGGAGGCAGCAGUGGGGAAUUUUGGACAAUGGGGGCAACCCUGAUCCAGCCAUGCCGCGUGAGUGAAGAAGGCCUUCGGGUUGUAAAGCUCUUUCGGCCGGGAAGAAAUCGCAUGGGUUAAUACCCUGUGCGGAUGACGGUACCGGCAUAAGAAGCACCGGCUAACUACGUG